ensembl:lncRNA
CAUGGUGAUGUUUAGGAAUACUAUAUUACAUUAUAACAGAACUGACUGUAGUUUUACAAUGCAAGUUUUGGGAUGUUAGGUUAAUAUUGCUGUGAGGGGGAGAAAGUGGGACACAACUUUUAUCCCACUAAUUAUCCCCAAGCCCCAGAUUGCAUAAUAUAUAGUAAAGGUCUUUAUCAAAAGGGGACAAUAUAUAGAUGCUCUGGGGGAAAAUACUAUGCAUCUGUAUAUUAAAUAUACAUUAAAUGAUUAAGAAAUUACCCUCUUAGGUCUAGUCUUAUCUUCAUGAAUUUUUUUUUCUUCUUUUCAUGUGUCAGAGAAGAGAGGUGACCCUUCUUCAACUCUAUAGGCAUGCCACAAAUUCCUCUGUGGACCCAUGAACAUGGAUAUUACCAGAUGCCAAGAGUCUGCAAAACAGCCAGUGAAGCUCCCCAGAGAGAGAGAAUAAAAACUCCCCUUUUCUGCCAGUUCUACAGCGCUACCUCUCCGACCACACGACUGGACACAAACAUUCUUCCAGUUGCCAGAGGCAGCACAUCGCUGAGAGGUGGCGUCGUGGGGGACCACCUCAGGGUUUAUGGAUUCCCUCCUGACGUGGAGAUUCCUGAGAGAAUCUGCAAGCUCUUCGAAUGCUAAGGCAUCUGGCCUUUUAAACAAGCUGGAAAGAAGAGAUACAUACCACCACCAAGCAUAAGAAAAAAUGCUCAACAUCUCUAACCAUUAGAGAAAUGCAAGUCAAAACCACAAUGAGAUACCAUUUCAUACCAUUCAAAAUGUCUAUUAUUAAAAAGUCAAAAAAUAACAGAUGCUGCUGAGGUUGCAGAGAAAAGGGAAUGCUUACACACUGCUGGUGGAAAUGUAAAUUAGUUCAACCAUUGUGGAAAUCAGUGUGUCAAUUCCUCAAAGAACUUAAAACAGAAUUACCAUUCGACUCAGCAAUCUCAUUAUUGGGUAUAUACCCCCAAAAUAUAAAUCAUUCUACCAUAAAGACACGUGCAUGUGUAUGUUCAUCUCAGCACUAUUAAAAAUAGCAAAGACAUGGGAUCAACCCAAAGCCCAUCAACAGUAGAUUCAAUAAAGAAAAUAUGGUACUGAUAUACCAUGGAAUACUAUGCAGCUAUAAAAAAGAAUAAGAUCACGUCCUUUGCAGCAACACGGGUGGAGCUGGACACCAUUAUCCUAAGCAAACUAAUGCAGAAUCAGAAAACCAAAUACCACAGGUUCUUACUUAUAUGUGGACACUAAGAGGGGAACACGUGGACAGUAAGAAGGGAACAACAGACACUGGGGCCUACCUGAGGGUGGAAGGUGGGAGGAGGGAGAGGAUUUAAGAAACUACCUAUCUGGUACUAUGUUUAUUACCUGAGUGACAAAAUAAUCUGUACACCAAACUCCUGUGACAUAUCGCUUACCUAUAUAACAAACCUGAAUAUGUACCCCUGAACCUAAAAUAAAAGUUAAAAAGCAUAAGCUGAAUGCCAUGUUUCUCAAGCUCCAGUAAUGUGCCACACGUUCCUAUUACAGUGUUAUUAUACUCUGAGUACAAACUUCUUGUGCUUGUAGCUCUUGACUCUAAAAGAACUAUUAAAUGGAAAAAAUGCAUCAAUGCAUCAAUUUUAUACAAACAAUUCAACUGCUAUUUUAAUAACAUUCAGAAAAAUACCAUUAUUUGGAUAUGGCUGAUAAUGUUUGCCUGAAACUAUUCUAUGACUUAAAGGUGAAAAUGGCACUGAUGGCUGUAGUUUGGGUUGUUGGAUAUUAUGCACUUGGGAAGGUGUUUCUACUGUGGUGUGCAAAGAUUUAAUUCUCCUUUUUGCUUGUGUCUGAGCUACUUAAACCUUGGUUUGUCAAGUACAUCAAUUCUCCACUUGGUUCUAACACCUUCUUUUCACAUUAAAAUUGUUAGUGUUUCAUUAGCCACAGCAAUUAAAAAUUGCACACCUAGCAC